CUAGAUGCUGACGAGCGGCGGACGGGUGAGUAAUGCAUAGGAAUCUGCCCGAUAGUGGGGGAUAACCUGGGGAAACCCAGGCUAAUACCGCAUACGUCCUACGGGAGAAAGGGGGCUCCGGCUCCCGCUAUUGGAUGAGCCUAUGUCGGAUUAGCUAGUUGGUGAGGUAAUGGCUCACCAAGGCAACGAUCCGUAGCUGGUCUGAGAGGAUGAUCAGCCACAUCGGGACUGAGACACGGCCCGAACUCCUACGGGAGGCAGCAGUGGGGAAUAUUGGACAAUGGGGGCAACCCUGAUCCAGCCAUGCCGCGUGUGUGAAGAAGGCCCUCGGGUUGUAAAGCACUUUCAGCGAGGAAGAACGCCUAGUGGUUAAUACCCAUUAGGAAAGACAUCACUCGCAGAAGAAGCACCGGCUAACUCCGUGCCAGCAGCCGCGGUAAUACGGAGGGUGCAAGCGUUAAUCGGAAUUACUGGGCGUAAAGCGCGCGUAGGUGGCUUGAUAAGCCGGUUGUGAAAGCCCCGGGCUCAACCUGGGAACGGCAUCCGGAACUGUCAGGCUAGAGUGCAGGAGAGGAAGGUAGAAUUCCCGGUGUAGCGGUG
rnacentral:rRNA from 1 species